rnacentral:rRNA from 1 species
GUGAGCGCUGGCGGUAGGCCUAACACAUGCAAGUCGAACGGCAGCACAGUAAGAGCUUGCUCUUACGGGUGGCGAGUGGCGGACGGGUGAGGAAUACAUCGGAAUCUACUUUUUCGUGGGGGAUAACGUAGGGAAACUUACGCUAAUACCGCAUACGACCUACGGGUGAAAGCAGGGGAUCUUCGGACCUUGCGCGAUUGAAUGAGCCGAUGUCGGAUUAGCUAGUUGGCGGGGUAAAGGCCCACCAAGGCGACGAUCCGUAGCUGGUCUGAGAGGAUGAUCAGCAACACUGGAACUGAGACACGGUCCAGACUCCUACGGGAGGCAGCAGUGGGGAAUAUUGGACAAUGGGCGCAAGCCUGAUCCAGCCAUACCGCGUGGGUGAAGAAGGCCUUCGGGUUGUAAAGCCCUUUUGUUGGGAAAGAAAAGCAGCAGGUUAAUACCCCGCUGUUCUGACGGUACCCAAAGAAUAAGCACCGGCUAACUUCGUG